AAAUAGGAUCCUUUUGGAUCCAUGGAUAGAAGAAUUACAUCAUAUU
rfam:Camelus ferus unplaced genomic scaffold scaffold141, whole genome shotgun sequence.